ensembl:miRNA MIR1296 microRNA 1296
ACCUACCUAACUGGGUUAGGGCCCUGGCUCCAUCUCCUUUAGGAAAACCUUCUGUGGGGAGUGGGGCUUCGACCCUAACCCAGUUGGGCUGU